rnacentral:rRNA from 1 species
GUGCACCAGGCGCGAAAACUCCGCAAUGCGCGAAAGCGUGACGGGGUCACCCCGAGUGCCGUCCGCUGAGGAUGGCUUUUGUCUGGUCUAACCAGCCGGGGGAAUAAGGGGAGGGCAAGUCUGGUGUCAGCCGCCGCGGUAAUACCAGCUCCCCGAGUGGUUGGGACGAUUAUUGGGUCUGAAGCGUCCGUAGCCGGCCGGAAAAGUUCCUCGUUAAAUCUGGCGAUCCAAUCGUUGGGCUGCGGGGAAUACUGUUCGGCUUGGGGGCGAGAGAGGCCGGCGGUAGUCCCGGGGUAGGGGCGAAAUCCUAUAAUCCCGGGAGGACCACCAGUGGCGAAGGCGGUCGGCUAGAACGCGCUCGACGGUGAGGGACGAAAGCUGGGGGAGCGAACCGGAUUAGAUACCCGUGUAGUCC